GACGAACGCUGGCGGCGUGCUUAACACAUGCAAGUCGAACGAAGAGCGAUGGCUUCUUGCUUCUAUCAAUCUGAGUGGCGAACGGGUGAGUAACGCGUAAUCAACCUGCCCUUCAGAGGUGGACAACAGUUGGAAACGACUGCUCAUACCGCAUACGAUCUCACCUCGGCAUCGAUGGGGGAUUAAAGGCGGCCUCUAUUUAUAUGCUAUCACUUCAGGAUGGGAUUGCGGCUGUUGCGGACGUUGGAGGGGUAAAGCCCCACGAAGGCGAUGAUGAGUAGCAGGUCGGAGAGGAUGAGCAGCCAGACUGGGAGUGUGACACGGCCCAGUGGCAUAGGGGAGGCAGCAGGGGGGCAUCUUGCGCAAUGGGCGAGAGUCUGAGGGAGAAACGCCGCGGGAGUGAUGACGGCCUUCGGGUUGGAGAGCUCGGUUAUUCGGGAGGAAAGGCCUUCUUGCGAAUAGGUAGAGGGAGUGACGGUAACGGAAUAGGAAGCAACGGCUAACUACGUG
rnacentral:rRNA from 1 species